rnacentral:rRNA from 1 species
GACGAACGCUGGCGGCGUGCCUAACACAUGCAAGUCAAAGGAAAGCAGCUUCGGUUGUAAGUACUUGGCGCAAGGGUGAGUAAUGUAUAGGUAAUCUGCCCUUAGGACUGGCAUAACCUCGAGAAAUCGAGGACAAUACCAGAUGAUGCAGCGGGACCGCAUGGUCAUGUUGUUAAAGAUUUAUCGCCUAAGGAUGAACCUAUAUCCCAUCAGGUAGUUGGCAGGAUAAUAGCCUACCAAGCCUACGACGGGUAGCUGGUCUGAGAGGAUGAUCAGCCACAUUGGAACUGAGACACGGUCCAGACUCCUACGGGAGGUAUUUUUUGAGGAAUAUUGCGCAAUGGGCGAAAGCCUGACGCAGCAACGCCGCGUGGAUGAUGAAGUUCUUCGGAAUGUAAAGUCCUUUUGUAGAGGAAGAACAUGUCGGUUUACCGGCACUGACGGUACUCUGCGAAUAAGCCACGGCUAACUCUGU